rnacentral:misc_RNA from 1 species
AACCUUAUGGACCUGCGGGCGUAUACCUGCGGAGGGAUCAUUACAGAGUGUUUAACCCCCUAUAAAAUGGUGGGUCUAACCUCCCGUCCUUUGCUGGGUCCCCCUUCUGGAGGACUUUCAAAACUUUCUGCUUCGGCGGGGUAUACCCGCCGGAACACCCUCAAAAAAUUCUUGAUCAAAAUGGUUCGGUCCGAGAAACUUUUUGUGAAAAUUAGCGAAAAACUUUCAACAACGGAUCUC